rnacentral:rRNA from 1 species
UCCAGACUCCUACGGGAGGCAGCAGUGGGGGAUAUUGCACAAUGGGGGAAACCCUGAUGCAGCGACGCCGCGUGGGUGAAGAAGUAUUUCGGUAUGUAAAGCCCUAUCAGCAGGGAAGAAAGAAGACGGUACCUGACUAAAAAGCCCCGGCUAACUACGUGCCAGCAGCCGCGGUAAUACGUAGGGGGCGAGCGUUAUCCGGAUUCACUGGGUGUAAAGGGAGCGUAGACGGCCGUGCAAGCCAGGAGUGAAAGCCCGGGGCCCAACCCCGGGACUGCUCUUGGAACUGUGCGGCUGGAGUGCGGGAGGGGCAGGCGGAAUUCCUGGUGUAGCGGUGAAAUGCGUAGAUAUCAGGAGGAACACCGGCGGCGAAGGCGGCCUGCUGGACCGCGACUGACGUUGAGGCUCGAAAGCGUGGGGAGCGAACAGGAUUAGAUACCCGCGUAGG